rnacentral:rRNA from 1 species
UACAGAGGGGGCAAGCGUUAUUCGGAAUUAUUGGGCGUAAAGGGCGCGUAGGCGGCCUGGCAAGUGGAAGGUGAAAUCCCUCGGCUUAACCGAGGAACUGCCCUCCAAACUGCUUGGCUUGAGUCCGGGAGAGGUGAGUGGAAUUCCCAGUGUAGCGGUGAAAUUCGUAGAUAUCGGGAGGAACACCAGUGGCGAAGGCGGCGACCUGGGCCAAUAUUGACGCUGAGGUGCGAAAGCGUGGGGAGCAAACAGG